rnacentral:lncRNA from 1 species
CAAUAUGAUUACCUCAAGUAGCUUUUUUAUCUUUAUAUUAACCUGCAAGACCAUAGUUCACUAAGUAAAAACUUAAAAUUCACAUACUAGUGAGAAUAAAAGAUGUAGUACAGCAUUCUGCGAAGCGGCUUUGUUGUGAUGCAUCUUUCUGGUCUAAAAAUGAUUGCAAUUCAUCAUAACUUGAAAAUAAGUACAAAGAUUUCAGUAUUCAAAAUUAACUGAAACUAAACAAAAAUGUUCAAACGAAACAAUUUUUUACCCACAUACCUUCGUAUGCUGGCAAGUCCGAGAUGUUUAGACUAUGAUUCAUAUAACCUCUCCUUAUUACUGAAUAUCUCCUCCUUGACAACAUAAGCUUUUGUAAAAGCAGUGAAUAAAUAAUGCGCACUCACCCUUGUUUCAACGGAAAACUAGACUCACUCCUGAUAAGUCUCGAAAGAUGCAGCCAUUGAUGUCGAAACAAGCCUGGUGAAUGAUCAUCCAAGGUAAAAUAAUUAUUUUCUUCUGCAGUAUAAUGUGGCAGUCAUCAGCACUCUAGAGUGUGAUAGACAUGUAAAUAAACACAUGCAGAUAGUUCAACACACAAUUAUGGCCUGCACAACUAAAGCAGGGGAUCACCAGCAAAAACAUGCAUAGCAAAAUUAGAGGAUCAAGUUUCCUCCAACAAAAAAGAGGAUCCCUAGCCAUAACUUAAGUACAGUAGUACCAACAUUCAUUGACCAAUUAAAUUGGAAGGGGACAAACAUGUUGUCCAAUCUCGUACCUAAUUGGUCCUCCCAUGGCACAAGUGGAAGUUUAGAGAAGUUGGGGCACCACAUGCCAAUAGAAUUAUAGAAGCCGCCAUGUUGUUAAUUAGGGGAGAAUGGAUCACUGAGGAUAAGGGGACAACCACGUCCUUGAGGGACAUGAACCUAGGUGAGCGCCUGAACGGUGGGGGUAAGCCGUAGGCGACCAUGGUAGCCUCCCUGUAGAGAGUAGUGGUCGCAAUUUUUGUUGUAUCCAACCAUGAUCUACGACGCCACGACGGCAAACCCUAGGUAGACAUGACACACAUGACCAGAGAGGAUAAGAUAAGAGCAGAGGAGAGGACUGCCUUACCAAACCAUUGUUGUCGGAGUGGAGUUAGCCAGGUGGAGCAGCACCGUCGAGCCAGGGGCAGCAACCAUGCGUGUGGAGAUGCAGGGGUUAAUGAGAAGUUGACGAACCGGAGGAGCAGGGAGCUGCAGCGGUGACUCGUUGAGACUAUACAGGGGCAUGUGCAAGGGCCCAGAGGAUGUCACGGCGGCGGAAGAUCAAAGGAUAGUACUCAGGGGGGAGCUAGGGCCAGCGAGCCAGGGCGUGGGAGAGCACCGGAGCUAGGCCGAACCGGAGGUCGUGGCGGCAGAGUCAUGACCCAUGGAUCUCGGCUGAAAGAGGAAUUGGGGGAUGGAGAGAUGGGAUGGGAAAUUUUGUUUUUCUUUUUG